rnacentral:rRNA from 2 species
AAAUUGAAGAGUUUGAUCAUGGCUCAGAUUGAACGCUGGCGGCAGGCCUAACACAUGCAAGUCGAGCGGUAGCACAGAGAGCUUGCUCUCGGGUGACGAGCGGCGGACGGGUGAGUAAUGUCUGGGAAACUGCCUGAUGGAGGGGGAUAACUACUGGAAACGGUAGCUAAUACCGCAUAAUGUCGCAAGACCAAAGUGGGGGACCUUCGGGCCUCAUGCCAUCAGAUGUGCCCAGAUGGGAUUAGCUAGUAGGUGGGGUAACGGCUCACCUAGGCGACGAUCCCUAGCUGGUCUGAGAGGAUGACCAGCCACACUGGAACUGAGACACGGUCCAGACUCCUACGGGAGGCAGCAGUGGGGAAUAUUGCACAAUGGGCGCAAGCCUGAUGCAGCCAUGCCGCGUGUGUGAAGAAGGCCUUCGGGUUGUAAAGCACUUUCAGCGGGGAGGAAGGCGUUAAGGUUAAUAACCUUGGCGAUUGACGUUACCCGCAGAAGAAGCACCGGCUAACUCCGUGCCAGCAGCCGCGGUAAUACGGAGGGUGCAAGCGUUAAUCGGAAUUACUGGGCGUAAAGCGCACGCAGGCGGUCUGUCAAGUCGGAUGUGAAAUCCCCGGGCUCAACCUGGGAACUGCAUUCGAAACUGGCAGGCUAGAGUCUUGUAGAGGGGGGUAGAAUUCCAGGUGUAGCGGUGAAAUGCGUAGAGAUCUGGAGGAAUACCGGUGGCGAAGGCGGCCCCCUGGACAAAGACUGACGCUCAGGUGCGAAAGCGUGGGGAGCAAACAGGAUUAGAUACCCUGGUAGUCCACGCCGUAAACGAUGUCGAUUUGGAGGUUGUGCCCUUGAGGCGUGGCUUCCGGAGCUAACGCGUUAAAUCGACCGCCUGGGGAGUACGGCCGCAAGGUUAAAACUCAAAUGAAUUGACGGGGGCCCGCACAAGCGGUGGAGCAUGUGGUUUAAUUCGAUGCAACGCGAAGAACCUUACCUGGUCUUGACAUCCACAGAACUUUCCAGAGAUGGAUUGGUGCCUUCGGGAACUGUGAGACAGGUGCUGCAUGGCUGUCGUCAGCUCGUGUUGUGAAAUGUUGGGUUAAGUCCCGCAACGAGCGCAACCCUUAUCCUUUGUUGCCAGCGGUU